AUAAUGUAAGUCGAACGCUUCUUUUUCCACCGGAGCUUGCUCCACCGGAAAAAGAGGAGUGGCGAACGGGUGAGUAACACGUGGGUAACCUGCCCAUCAGAAGGGGAUAACACUUGGAAACAGGUGCUAAUACCGUAUAACAAUCGAAACCGCAUGGUUUUGAUUUGAAAGGCGCUUUCGGGUGUCGCUGAUGGAUGGACCCGCGGUGCAUUAGCUAGUUGGUGAGGUAACGGCUCACCAAGGCGACGAUGCAUAGCCGACCUGAGAGGGUGAUCGGCCACAUUGGGACUGAGACACGGCCCAAACUCCUACGGGAGGCAGCAGUAGGGAAUCUUCGGCAAUGGACGAAAGUCUGACCGAGCAACGCCGCGUGAGUGAAGAAGGUUUUCGGAUCGUAAAACUCUGUUGUUAGAGAAGAACAAGGAUGAGAGUAACUGUUCAUCCCUUGACGGUAUCUAACCAGAAAGCCACGGCUAACUACGUGCCAGCAGCCGCGGUAAUACGUAGGUGGCAAGCGUUGUCCGGAUUUAUUGGGCGUAAAGCGAGCGCAGGCGGUUUCUUAAGUCUGAUGUGAAAGCCCCCGGCUCAACCGGGGAGGGUCAUUGGAAACUGGGAGACUUGAGUGCAGAAGAGGAGAGUGGAAUUCCAUGUGUAGCGGUGAAAUGCGUAGAUAUAUGGAGGAACACCAGUGGCGAAGGCGGCUCUCUGGUCUGUAACUGACGCUGAGGCUCGAAAGCGUGGGGAGCAAACAGGAUUAGAUACCCUGGUAGUCCACGCCGUAAACGAUGAGUGCUAAGUGUUGGAGGGUUUCCGCCCUUCAGUGCUGCAGCUAACGCAUUAAGCACUCCGCCUGGGGAGUACGACCGCAAGGUUGAAACUCAAAGGAAUUGACGGGGGCCCGCACAAGCGGUGGAGCAUGUGGUUUAAUUCGAAGCAACGCGAAGAACCUUACCAGGUCUUGACAUCCUUUGACCACUCUAGAGAUAGAGCUUCCCCUUCGGGGGCAAAGUGACAGGUGGUGCAUGGUUGUCGUCAGCUCGUGUCGUGAGAUGUUGGGUUAAGUCCCGCAACGAGCGCAACCCUUAUUGUUAGUUGCCAUCAUUUAGUUGGGCACUCUAGCAAGACUGCCGGUGACAAACCGGAAGGAAGGUGGGG
rnacentral:rRNA from 1 species